rnacentral:rRNA from 1 species
GGCAGCAGCCGCGGUAACACCGGCGGCCCGAGUGGUGAUCGUGAUUAUGGGUCUAAAGGGUCCGUAGCCGGUUGGUCAGUCCUCCGGGAAAUCUGAUAGCUCAACUAUUAGGCUUUCGGGGGAUACUGCCAGACUUGGAACCGGGAGAGGUAAGAGGUACUACAGGGGUAGGAGUGAAAUCUUGUAAUCCCUGUGGGACCACCUGUGGCGAAGGCGUCUUACCAGAACGGGUUCGACGGUGAGGGACGAAAGCUGGGGGCACGAACCGGAUUAGAUACCCGGGUAGUCCCAGCCGUAAACGAUGCUCGCUAGGUGUCAGGCAUGGCGCGACCGUGUCUGGUGCCGCAGGGAAGCCGUGAAGCGAGCCACCUGGGAAGUACGGCCGCAAGGCUGAAACUUAAAGGAAUUGGCGGGGGAGCACAACAACGGGUGGAAGCCUGCGGUUUAAUUGGACUCAACGCCGGACAACUCACCGGGGGCGACAGCAAUAUGUAGGCCAAGCUGAAGACUUUGCCUGAAUCGCUGAGGGGAGGUGCAUGG